UGGGGAAUAUUGCACAAUGGGCGCAAGCCUGAUGCAGCCAUGCCGCGUGUAUGAAGAAGGCCUUGGUUAUAAAGUACUUUCAGCAGUGAGGAAGGUAGUAGUGUUAAUAGCGCUAUUAUUUGACGUUAGCUGC
rnacentral:rRNA from 1 species